UACGUAGGGUGCAAGCGUUAAUCGGAAUUACUGGGCGUAAAGCGUGCGCAGGCGGCUAUGCAAGACAGAUGUGAAAUCCCCGGGCUCAACCUGGGAACUGCAUUUGUGACUGCAUGGCUAGAGUACGGUAGAGGGGGAUGGAAUUCCGCGUGUAGCAGUGAAAUGCGUAGAUAUCGGGAGGAACACCAGUGGCGAAGGCGACUACCUGGCCUGUUCUUGACGCUGAGGCGCGAAAGCUAGGGGAGCAAACGGG
rnacentral:rRNA from 1 species